AGAGUUUGAUCAUGGCUCAGAUUGAACGCUGGCGGCAGGCCUAACACAUGCAAGUCGAACGGUAACAGGAAGCAGCUUGCUGCUUUGCUGACGAGUGGCGGACGGGUGAGUAAUGUCUGGGAAACUGCCUGAUGGAGGGGGAUAACUACUGGAAACGGUAGCUAAUACCGCAUAACGUCGCAAGACCAAAGAGGGGGACCUUCGGGCCUCUUGCCAUCGGAUGUGCCCAGAUGGGAAUAGCUAGUAGGUGGGGUAACGGCUCACCUAGGCGACGAUCCCUAGCUGGUCUGAGAGGAUGACCAGCCACACUGGAACUGAGACUCGGUCCAGACUCCUACGGGAGGCAGCAGUGGGGAAUAUUGCACAAUGGGCGCAAGCCUGAUGCAGCCAUGCCGCGUGUAUGAAGAAGGCCUUCGGGUUCUAAAGUACUUUCAGCGGGGAGGAAGGGAGUAAAGUUAAUACCUUUGCUCAUUGACGUUACCCGCAGAAGAAGCACCGGCUAACUCCGUGCCAGCAGCCGCGGUAAUACGGAGGGUGCAAGCGUUAAUCGGAAUUACUGGGCGUAAAGCGCACGCAGGCGGUUUGUUAAGUCAGAUGUGAAUUCCCCGGGCUCAACCUGGGAACUGCAUCUGAUACUGGCAAGCUUGAGUCUCGUAGAGGGGGGUAGAAUUCCAGGUGUAGCGGUGAAAUGCGUAGAGAUCUGGAGGAAUACCGGUGGCGAAGGCGGCCCCCUGGACGAAGACUGACGCUCAGGUGCGAAAGCGUGGGGUGCAAACAGGAUUAGAUACCCUGGUAGUCCACGCCGUAAACGAUGUCGACUUGGAGGUUGUGCCCUUGAGGCGUGGCUUCCGGAGCUAACGCGUUAAGUCGACCGCCUGGGGAGUACGGCCGCAAGGUAAAAACUCAAAUGAAUUGACGGGGGCCCGCACAAGCGGUGGAGCAUGUGGUUUAAUUCGAUGCAACGCGAAGAACCUUACCUG
rnacentral:rRNA from 1 species